UACGUAGGGUGCAAGCGUUGUCCGGAAUUAUUGGGCGUAAAGAGCUCGUAGGCGGUUUGUCGCGUCGGCUGUGAAAGCCCGGGAGCUCAACUCCGGGUCUGCAGUCGAUACGGGCAGACUUGAGUGUUGCAGGGGAGACUGGAAUUCCUGGUGUAGCGGUGAAAUGCGCAGAUAUCAGGAGGAACACCGAUGGCGAAGGCAGGUCUCCUGGGCAUUAACUGACGCUGGAGGAGCGAAAGCAUGGGGAGCGAACAG
rnacentral:rRNA from 1 species